UUCUUCAAAUCUAAGAAAGAAGACACAGUGAGAGAGACGACAAUUUUCAUAGACCAGUCCUAUUUUCUCACCAAAGA
rnacentral:sRNA from 1 species